UAUGCUUUAAUAUAGGAUGUAUAAUAAUUUUUGAAGUUAUUAGGGAUAGUUUAACUCUAUCAAGCAUAA
rnacentral:tRNA from 1 species